rnacentral:lncRNA from 1 species
UUGCCUCUAGAGGGAAUGAACAGGAGGAGGGGCCAUGAGAUUUAUUCUAUAGUCAUUCUACCAAGCAACAUGGCCUCUAAUUGGGUCGAACAAAUGCUCUAUAUGGAGAACCACCAUAUAUGCAUUUAACUUGCAGACUAACAGCCCAAGUGUGAGAGAGGACGAUGUAAAUAGUGUGGGAAAUUCCCUAGAGUGAGUGUGACAUGUAAGGUCGGAAUCUGCUGCUCAGCCACUCUCAGCUCCUUCAGUCUCUCUUAGACGUGAACAUGUGCUCUGGCCUAAGUGUGAUCCUAGUUUUUUAAGAUUUGCAUAUUUUAAACAAUGUGGCUUCUACUAAGUGAGAGCCAACGAUUACAUUUGGUACCCAGCCAAAGAAAACAGAAAAUGAUUCCACUUCUAGAAUUAAAACAAAACAAAACAACUAUGCUGGUCUCAUUAAGAGAAGUCAUGUGGCCUCCAACACAAUGUCUUCCCAAGGAAUUUUUCAGAGUGAUUUUGAUUACAUGCAACUUUUCCUUCCCUGUGAACUUUAGAACCCCAGGUAACCACCUCAUACCAUGAAAGAUCGGAGGCAGCUUAUAAGAGACACAUACACUUUAAGGGUGAAUUAUAAAUAAAAAGUACAAAAUGAGACCAGGGGAAAUAUAAAUUAGUGGGGCAGGUCGGGCUCCAGUGGGUGGCAAAGCAGAGAACAUCUAUCCAGUUAGCCUAUGAGGCUUGACCCUCAGAGUUGCUGUCCUUGGGCUGGACUUGACCACCUGUAACUUAAGAUAAAACAGUCCCACCCUUAAGGUCAUCAAAUGAAAGACACAAGGACAGCAUAGCAGAGGCCUAGCUGGCUUGUCAGAAAAAUGCACGGGAGAUUUCAGUUGGCUAAAACCUCAAUAUGAGCCACUGCAUGGCCAGGCUGUGCAAAGGAGUGGGGCUCCAUUAAUAGUGCACGGUGUGGCCCCACUGAGGAGGAGAGAGUCCUCCCGCACACAGCACUGGCUGUACGUUCACAUUUGCAAUCAACACAUUGGAAUAUGUCACCAUGUGCCAACUGGUCAGUGUCAAAGGGUAGAUACAGUGGAACCCUCCAGGAGCUCACACAGUCUGUCCAAAGAGCCAGUGAGGAGAAAUAGCAACAAUCCUGCUUGAUAUGUGCUCGCAGGAGAUCCCAUUAGGACUUUGGUGCUUGUGGUUGGUUCUAAUUGUUUUUCUAAAAGGACAUUCACAAGAAGAACUACAGAGGAUGAGUCUUCUCUUUUGGUGUCUAAGCCCCCAGCAGGGCUCCUGAUAAAAACCUGCUAGCUACUCAGGCCCUUCAUAAACAGCUGGCACAACAGCAGCGAUGUCAGAUCUGGUGCAGGGAUGCUGGGCUUGUGAUGGAGUCUGGAACCUGCCAGAAGCCUGGCAUCACAGCCAUUCUCGGACAUCCUCGUGAGUACUUUGAAAGCCUCAGUAUUGCAGCCUCUCGUUCCUCCUGGAUGCUGUUAAAGGGUGUUCUGUAAAGGAAGGGCAUCUCCUUGAAUUGAUUCUCCUCCAUCAGAUGGGACCUGUGUUGAACAAAGGAAGAUAAAAUGGAUCAGCCCCCAACCCAAAUCCAUCAAUUUCAAGCCUGUGUGUGGUGAAACCAGCAUAGUCUUUGGAGUUGCCAGACGUAGGUUUGAAUCCUAGAGCAGCCUCUCCAUGGCACUGUUACCUUGGGCUAGCCCUGAAACCACAUGAGACUCAGCUUCCUUUGCCUGGAAAAUGGAAAUUUGAAUCCCGCACUCACAGAGUUGUAAGCACUGAAUGAGAUCAUGAAAAUAAGUGAUUGGCUUAAUAAAUAUCAAGAUUCUCAU